GGGCGAAUAGCUCAGUUGGCAGAGCGCCAGCCUUACAAGCUGGAUGUCGUAGGUUCGACCCCUGCUUCGCCCA
rnacentral:tRNA from 1 species